GGAUGUGAGAGCGAUCUGGCUGCGACAUCUGUCACCCCAUUGAUCGGCAGGGUUGAUUGCGGCUGAUCUGGCUGGCUAGGCGGGUGUCCCCUUCUUCCUCACCGCUCCAUGUGCGUCCUCCUGAAGCUGCGAGCUCCGGUGGAAGAGGACGGCCUUUCCCCGAAUAGAGACGGACUGGUCUUCGGGUCGAGGGUAUACGAGGUAGCUGCGCACCCCUGCUAGAACCUCCAAACAAGCUCUCAAGAAUAUAGCAUCUGGGAGUCGGGCGGUAGGGCAGUGGGUUAAGCACAC
rnacentral:snRNA from 1 species